rnacentral:rRNA from 1 species
CAAUAGCGUAUAUUAAAGUUGUUGCAGUUAAAAAGCUCGUAGUUGGAUUUCUGGUCGGAAGCUCCUGUCCUCUGAUGAGCGUACAAGUGCGUCAUACCAUCCUUCUGUUAACCUUUAAGGCUUUCGCGGCUUUCUAGGGGCUCAGAUAUUUUACCUUGAGAAAAUUAGAGUGUUUCAGGCAGGCUAGCGCCGGAAUACAUUAGCAUGGAAUAAUGGAAUAGGACUUUUGCCUCUUCUGUUGGUCAUGAGGCUCGAGUAAUGAUUAAUAGGGAUAGUUGGGGGCAUUAGUACUUAACUGUCAGAGGUGAAAUUCUCGGAUUUGUUAAAGACUAACUUAUGCGAAAGCAUUUGCCAAGGAUGUUUUCAUUAA